ACAGCAUCUAUAUAAAAUAAUAUAAGGGGAUCAGACCAAAAAAAUGCAUAAUUGACAAGCCAGCUUUUAAACUGAAAAGUGUUCACAAUAUUGAUACAUGUUCUUAAAAAGUGACAUCUGAAUAAUUUGUAAUUAUUCUUUGGUCAAAAAUGAGCAAUAAUCACAACGUUUAUAGAUAUAUACUGACAUAAAUAGAAGUUCAUCUGGUAUUACGUAGCUAAUUAAUAAAUAGCUCGUUAUUGCUGUACUGUUUGUGCAAUGGAUUACAUACUUUCGAGUUAUUUUAUAUGUUCAAAGAUUUGCACGUGUCGCAGCACGUGUCUUAACUUGGAAUCGAACCGCAAAUGUAUUCGAAGUAGACAAAUCAGAACGAACCUGUACCUUGUUUACGUAACGAAAUGAGUAAUAUAACGGGGAUAAAUUUGAAAUGGACCAAUAGCAGGUCUAAUGCCAGUAGAAAAGAUAUUAUAUUGGGGAGUAUGUACGAUGACGGAAGGUCGGUAGUGCAGGAUACAGAAGGUAUAGAGAGCUAUGAAAAAUGGUAACAUCCUACCUGUUUGGUUGAAAUGCGAUGCGCCGAAGGGGCGGUAUACCAGCCAAUGGGGAUGCCGGAUUAGAGGGAGAUGCUAUUCAUCUCACAGUCGCGAGUUCUGCAGGAAGAACUGGAGUAGUCGACGCGCGUACUUUAACGCGAUCACAAGUUCUGACCUAAUGUCCUUAUAGUAGUUCCAGUAUAGAAUACAAGAUUGUUGAGAUAAGAAUUGUUCAAUAGUUAAGAGCAAACUAUGUUGAACUUGUGUUAAUCGAAAACUCACUUGAAAAAUGUCGACCUAGUCAUGAUGGAAUUUGCUAUUUUUCUGGAAAUAUCUUGAGUUUUGAGUUAGGGAUGAAGGAAUUACUUAAAAAUUGGGUCCAAAUAGAGCUUGGAAUAACAGGGGACUGAUGAAAUUGAAGUUUUUCAUUACUUAUAUGAUAUAUGUCCAUUGUAUAUCUUUCAUAAACUUUGCUGUUACUUUUAUCCUUUUUAUUUGUCUAACUUAUAUUAUUAUAUUGAUAGCACGUAUAUAAUUUUAAUAUCACGUAGAGUGUUUAAAGCUUUUAAUACUCUUAACACUUGUCUAAAUAUUAAUACUGUUUCUUUUACUUAUUUUCCCAAAAUUUAUUCGAAUUUCAUUUUUCCACUGAAAAAAAGACGUCGAAACGGCUUGUCAGAGCUAUUCGGAUUUAGUUUACUAUUGGCGGGAUAUUAUCCUAUGAAAUAUAGAGCAGCUUCCUAGACAUACAUUAUUAUAAAUCUGCUUUCGUGGUACAAGAUCAUGCACUUCCGGUUCCAACUAUAAAUCAUCCUCUUAUAACCGCCUGAGAUACCACGUCUUUUAACGCACUAUUAUAUAGAAUACAGUACAGAGUACCAGCGGCUAAUUGAAUUUUGAUUUAUUAAUGCAGUGCAACUUCCUUAAUACUCUAUUUAUAAUUUAUGCAAUAACAUCAAACGCUAGUAUCAUUAUUAGUAUAAUCACAAGCUUUCCCAAGAUGUACCCGAGUCACAAUCAUCUUACUCGAUACCCAGUAGAAGUUCGUCAUCUAAAAAAAAUUUAAGUUUAAAAAUCAUCAUCUAUGACGUCCAGUGCAAAAUUGAAGUUACGAUAUUCCAUCUUCCUUUGGCUAUGAUUCUGAAAUAGAAUGGACAAGAACAAAUCAUCUGAUCAUAUAAAACUGAUGCUUUAUUAACAAUUGAAAAAAAUUUCAUUCAAGUGAAAUUUUCUGUCUCUCUCACAGCUUAGAUUCCUCCAAGUUUUAAGUACCAUUAAAAGAUAUCACUCUAAAAAAAAAUAUCAAACGCCGAACGCUACUUGUACUAAUUUCGCAGCAAAAGCUUAGCUAUGAAUUUUUCCUUCAGUUACAAACAGAUUAUUAUUAAUUAUAUCUAGUUGGCAGACAACGGCGCUAUGGAUUCGCUGAAAAUUUUCUUUUAAUUAUAAUCCAAGGAAACCGUGUCAGACCUUCGCAGAAUCUUUGUGACUUUCAAACUUGUGAGAGCUUCAUUUAAUUUCGUGUCUGUUUUACAAUGCCGUGGAAUCACAUGUGCCAAGGAUGAACAUCAAUUGUAAUAUAAUAUUCGGAUAAUACUAAGGAUAGAACAACUCGUAAAAAUAAGUAUAUAAGAACAUAUUCAACCAAGCCGAGUGAAGGGGGAUGCCAGACGUUUUUUUUUUAUGAAGGAUUUAAAAGAUUCUUUACACUGUUCCUUAUUAAUUGAAAAAAUUCCAAAGUGAGAGAUAACUCGUAGUCUUAACAACGCAUAAUGUACUUCGCGUUUAAUUCAGUGAUAAUCGACAGUAGAAGAAACCAUAAUGAAGAAUUUUGAAAGUUGGUAACGGUCUCCGACAAGGAGACGAAGUUACGUCAUCGUGGCAGGUUAUUGUAAAUCCGACGAGACGCCGAUGCACGAGACGUUUAAAACGAAUGGCAGCUGGAUCUUUAAAUAUGGAUUUUCCAAAUGGAAGCGGCAACAAUACUUUAGUUCUCUGCGAUCUACGUUACCGACACUUCAUCGCACCUGACGGAGAACUGUGGUGCAGCUGGGCAUGGGACUCUAUUCUCUGUUGGCCGCCUACGAAAGCAUCAACCACAGCCAAGCAAAGGUGUCCUCUGGAGAACGGUGUCGACACUACGAAGUUUGUGGAAAAACGAUGCGACGACAAUGGACGUUGGGAGGAUCGCGGUGGUCCGACGGGAGAAAGAAAUUCGCCUAAUGGAUGGACAAACUAUACACCUUGUUUCACAAGGGAAAUGCUCCUGCUCAUUCGGAAACUUUACGCCGGGAACGAGGACGCUGCCAAGGUAAAACUGGAUAUUGCGAAGAGAACACGAACACUGGAAUUCGUCGGUUUGAGUAUCUCCUUGGCGGCUCUUCUCAUUUCCCUGGCAAUUUUUUGCCGAUUCAGGAGCUUGCGGAACACGAGGACACGAAUUCACAAGAAUCUUUUUGUUGCUAUGGUCAUUCAGGUUCUAAUAAGAUUGACGCUUUACAUAGACCAGGCAGUCCUUAGAACUGGGACAAAUAGCUUUCAACAUGGAAUAGAAAAUACGCCUGUACUCUGUGAGGCAAGCUACGUCUUGUUGGAAUACGCCAGAACGGCCAUGUUUAUGUGGAUGUUCAUAGAAGGUCUUUUUCUCCAUAAUAUGGUAACAGUUACGGUGUUUCAAGAGACGUCUUAUUAUCGUAUGUAUCGAUUGGUCGGUUGGGGAUAUCCUGUAGUAAUGACAUUGACCUGGGCCAUUGUCACGGCAGUGUACUAUCAUCCGUCAAAAUGUUGGUGGGGCUACAACCUAACCUUCUACUUCUGGAUCCUGGAAGGACCUAGAAUGGCCGUAAUUUUGCUCAACUUUUUGUUCCUGCUGAAUAUUAUACGAGUCUUGGUGGUAAAGCUGAGGCAGAGUCAUACCAGUGAAAUUGAACAAGCUCGGAAAGCCGUGAGAGCAGCCGUCCUUCUUCUACCACUUUUGGGCAUUACUAAUUUGAUCUCGAUGACGGAAGCUCCAUUAGAAAAGGCCGCCUGGGAGUUCGCUUUGUGGUCCUACACAACGCACUUUUUAACGUCCUUUCAGGGGCUAUUCAUAGCGACUCUCUAUUGUUUUCUGAACGGUGAGGUCAGACUGGCCCUGGGUAAAACCAUCUCAGUGUAUCUAUCAUUACGUGGUACAGAAGUACAAAAUAGAAGACAGUCGACCUUCAGUGGAUGCCAACCGCACCGAAUAACCUCGGUCAUCGAAGUCGAAGAAGAAGAAUUGAGAUCGAGUGGUUGGAUUAGACUUUGCUGUCGUGGCGAAGACACUCCGCCCUCGGAUCGACCUGCCGAGUGAGUAAGAUCCGGGAAAAUCGUUUGCCGACCACGUCGAUCCGCGUUUAGAUCAUUCCUGUGGUCGAUCUUCAUUACAGAUCAACGACUGUCUGACCGGAGUGGUGUCAGUGAACGCGCGCUAUCAGGGAACGGCAUCUCGUGACAAGACUUUUUACACGGAGGUGGAACUCGAACGUCAGGGAGGUUUUACCAGGGUAAAUGUUACUAACUAACUCGCGACGAAACACCAAAAGUUUCCGGAAGGAUUGGCUGAUUCUUGCAACAAAGUCAUCGAGCUGCCCUCAGGAGGACUCUUGGCCUCUCGAACUUGACCCAGAUCCAGUGACCCAACGAAAAUGUUUUGUUUCGUACGCGAGACUCGGUAGGCGACGUAAGAAAUGAGCAAAGUAUUAGGAAGGAUAGAUAAAUAGUACAUUAUGUCAGCCAGUAGAAUGAAAGACCAAAGGACAAUAUGACGAGUCAAUAUUAUGUGUAUUCUAGGAUACUUCCUAACCUUAAUUUUUUGUCUUAACCUAAACACAGUUUACACGUCCAUUCAUCCCUUUUGUAUCUUAUAUGGACGAUCGAAUGUACACGUCCUUUAAACUUUCUUAACCUCUCGAUCUUCCUUUUUAUAUGAACCGCAAUUUUUUACGAGCAUUUACUCCCCGACGGUCUUUCAUUCUCAAAAGGGGCAAUCAGCGGGAAUGACAAUUGGCAGCUGAAGCAAAAUGACAAUGAAAGAAGUUUACAAAGAUUCGAGGUUAAGGGUUCCAUUCGCAACAAGCAAGAGUACGGAUAAAUCUUUUAACCUUGGCAAUCGACAUUGUAUUGAAACAGCGGGAAUAGUCGCUCAAGGCUUCUAGAAAAAAAUCAAGCGAUUGCUGGCAAUUACAUGAAGACGAAGGCUAAAAAUAGAUCUGUGCAAAAGCGGAAUGUCAGAUCUUGUGAAUUGUGCACAUUGACUUUAGGAAAAGAAUAAAGAAAAGAAAUAUAUACAGGGUUAUUCACAGUAACCGCAUCAACCGAAGUAAGCCUAUUCAAUUGAUUUCUGUAAUGGAACCAUCUUCACUCCACUGUCACAAUCUUCAUCCGUUGUGACCGUUGCGAAAGGGGUGACCGUAUCCCAGUAAAUAAUGCUCCGGCUUUCAACGGGCUAACUUGUACGAACUCCUAAUUCAGAUUCAAUUGGACUAAGCUACUGGCAUAUAUUACAUUGGGAGUAAACUCAUGUGAAAAGAAAAUAUGGAAUAACGUCGUGAAUAAUCCUGUAUAAAUAUAUUGUAUUUACGUAUUGAGAAUUUGACGUGUGUUACUAAACGGUCUCAGGUAUAGGUAGAUAGUCGCGCACAUCUGUAUACAUAUAUGUAUAUAAGUAUUUUAAUGUUUUUCAAAUACUAAAAGUGAAUGAGAAUGAGGAUCGUGGAUCUCGGUUAACUUGUAAGUUCAAAUUUUGUUAUUAUUCUGAAAAAUUUAUUUUCUAAUAUACCUUCCUGGAUGCUAGUGUAACAUUAGAGUUAACAUUCAUAUAGCAUUAACAAAACGUAUUCCUCCUCAUUGGCAAUUUUAUUUUUGUCAAUGAGUGGAACACGAAGCCAUGAGCGAUAUUUUGUUAAUUAAAAUUUACAAGUGACAAUUUGCGAGGAUCGUGAAUGUGGGUGGCGACGCGUUCUUUUCGAAUAAGAUUUGUGUGUUUAUACGUGUACGUGUACGUAUGUAAGUAAAGUUUGCAAGAAAAAAUCGUUCAGUGGACUGUCGUUCCUCGAAAUCCGUGUGAAAACUUUUAAAGAAGUCGUAAUGUUUUUGUGAGUGUCAUUCGAACGGAUUCUGAGUACAACGAAUAAUAAAAUUUGUAUGUGUUCCAAAAUGUAUGGUGUAACGUUCGUCAUCUUCAUACUAAAUUUAGUGUAUUACAUUCAGAGGAUAUUGUGUAUGGGUACGUUACAAAGAAUAUUAUGGAAAUGGGAAGAUGUAUUUAUUAAAGCAAAAUUUAUGUACGAUCUUGAUAAGUAAAUUUUCCUAUUACGGAGACUGAUCUUUGAUUGAUACGUGACUAAAGAAAUUAGGAUCAAUCGAUUUCAACUCACAGUACGGAAACCUUGUCGAUUAUUACUAAAUUUUUCUAGUCAAGGAAGAAAAAGGAAAAAACAUCUUUUCGUUUAGUGUGCAUCUAAUCGUGUACUACAUUUGAUGAUAACUAGAUAACUUAUUCAGUACAAUAAAAAGGAAUGAUGUGAGAACGAGAGUGUGAAUAUUCUUAAUUUCAUAGAUGUUAUUUUUUUUCAAAUUUUCAAUAAUAAAUUAUGUAUACGUGGA